UUUAAGUACAACCAUAAGUUUCUGUGUCCAACUUUGAUCGUUCGUCUUAUUUGAAUUUUUUUAUAAUUAGUAAUUUUUUUGUUAUAAGAUGAUAAACAUGAAUAGUAUUUUAUGUGUGACUCAUGUUUUUAAUUUUUUUUUAAAUUUUUUCAAAUAAGAUGAAUGAUGAAAAUUGGGCAUGGAAAACAAUGGCUGCAUUUCAA
rfam:Oryza sativa Japonica Group DNA, chromosome 10, cultivar: Nipponbare, complete sequence.